rnacentral:rRNA from 1 species
GGGUUGUGAGGUUAAGCGACUAAGCGUACACGGUGGAUGCCCUGGCAGUCAGAGGCGAUGAAGGACGUGCUAAUCUGCGAUAAGCGUCGGUAAGGUGAUAUGAACCGUUAUAACCGGCGAUUUCCGAAUGGGGAAACCCAGUGUGUUUCGACACACUAUCAUUAACUGAAUCCAUAGGUUAAUGAGGCGAACCGGGGGAACUGAAACAUCUAAGUACCCCGAGGAAAAGAAAUCAACCGAGAUUCCCCCAGUAGCGGCGAGCGAACGGGGAGCAGCCCAGAGCCUGAAUCAGUGUGUGUGUUAGUGGAAGCGUCUGGAAAGGCGCGCGAUACAGGGUGACAGCCCCGUACACAAAAAUGCACAUACUGUGAGCUCGAUGAGUAGGGCGGGACACGUGGUAUCCUGUCUGAAUAUGGGGGGACCAUCCUCCAAGGCUAAAUACUCCUGACUGACCGAUAGUGAACCAGUACCGUG